CGGCUGCUGGCAUUAAUGAUUUUUUGAAAUAUGAGAGAUUUCCAGCUAUUUUAUUAUUUCGAUAACUGUGAAAGUAUCAUUGGACUGUCGUUUCAAGAAGAUAAUUCGGUGCCUAGAAAAUCUGAACGAUUUGAUUCUGACUAAUAGGUCUUAGCUACGUGUCCAAAUACCAUUGGCUCUAUGUCAUUCAUGUGGAUAAUAG
rnacentral:lncRNA from 1 species